GUUGUGGUGGUUCAGUGGUUGAACUCUCGCCUUCCAUGCAGGAGACCUAGGUUUGAUUCCCAGCCAAUGUA
rnacentral:tRNA from 1 species